rnacentral:rRNA from 1 species
GAUGAACGCUGGCGGCGUGCUUAACACAUGCAAGUCGAACGAUGAAGCCCAGCUUGCUGGGUGGAUUAGUGGCGAACGGGUGAGUAACACGUGAGUAACCUGCCCUUGACUCUGGGAUAAGCCUGGGAAACUGGGUCUAAUACUGGAUAUGACUUCUCAUCGCAUGGUGGGGGUGGAAAGAUUUAUUGGUCUUGGAUGGACUCGCGGCCUAUCAGCUUGUUGGUGAGGUAAUGGCUCACCAAGGCGACGACGGGUAGCCGGCCUGAGAGGGUGACCGGCCACACUGGGACUGAGACACGGCCCAGACUCCUACGGGAGGCAGCAGUGGGGAAUAUUGCACAAUGGGCGCAAGCCUGAUGCAGCGACGCCGCGUGAGGGAUGACGGCCUUCGGGUUGUAAACCUCUUUCAGUAGGGAAGAAGCGAGGGUGACGGUACCUGCAGAAGAAGCGCCGGCUAACUACGUG